ACAUGUUCCGGCAAGGCUAAUAGUUAGCCUCUUAAGCAGCCAGAAAGUUCCAUUCGGAACUUUAUCUAAGCUUCAUGGAACUUUAAAUCUUCUUAAGAUGCUACUCGGAACUUUGUCGGAACUUUCAAGUUCAUAAAAGUUCAGUAGUUUUGUGUUUCAAUAAAUAUUGAAUGUAUUUUUUUUGCAGAAAAUAACUGUGUUGAGCAUACAGAAAUAAAAUACAAAUUUAAAUUUAUGAAACCAAUAAAUAUUAGGCUUAAAUCAAUAAAUAUGUCACCCACCAGAUUCGAACGGUGAGUCGCUGCGUGAGAGACGUACGCUCUACCACGUUACUACAGUUAAGAUUGAAUGAAAAGCUGUUUUGCACACUUGUACAGUACUGACGUUAGCUUGACUUUGUCAAGUAUCUUCAGCAGCGCAGCGGUAAGUCAGCAGACUAUCACGGAGAGUACCAACUACUCAUACUAAACGAUCGGAUUAAAAAAUACAUUUUUGUUUCUGCAUGAAUUUUGUUGAAGUUCUGUCAGAAGCUGCUUAGAAUGCUAUCUAGCUACCUUAUGUGAACUUUCAAGUUCCAAAAUUACUUAAAAAUGAAGCUGCUUAGAAGGCUAAUGAGCCACCUCGAAAAAGCUGCUUAGCCUCUUAUCUGAACUUUUGGUUACUUGAGCAGACAUUUACGUAUUUUUAGGAUAAUUCUAUCAUCGUUUUCAACUAAAAGAAAUCGAUUCGACAGAAAUUCUACAAAUAUGUGACUGAUUCAUGAAUUUCGCCAAUUUCCUUAUUCAAAAACUCAUCUAUAAUGAACCAAGAAAAACCUGAAUGUUAAAAACGCUAGAAAUUUCUUAUCAUUACCGUCUAUUUUUUCCAAAAAUUUCAGAAAUUCUAAGACAUACUGUGUCAGAGAACCAAUCAGAUUAAUAUUUCACGACACACACAGUCUACAAGACCAAUGAUUUUUCUUUACGAGAUUCUAUUAAAUUAACUACGAAAUUCAACUGAAUGUUUAUUCAAGUCUUUUGCAAAUUCCACAAAAACAGAUUUCAGAAUCAGCAAGAAGCUUUGGCAUUUUUUUCAGAAAUCUAGCCAUGAAAUUCAUUGUUUUUUUUUUCGAACCGCAGACAUUACUGUAUAAAUUCCAUAAAAAAACCCUAUCCAAAAUUUUAAAUUCAAAAUGAUUGACAAAGAAAUUCGAGAAUAAGAGGAACUUCUCUGUUUUCACAAACUGAGCGUGAUCUAGCACUCCAAGCCAGAGACUAAUAACAUUAUUUUUACUCAAUCACAAAAUUCAUAACUCCAAUAUGCAUUUUUUUAUUUUUUUUUUUCUAAUUGUGUUAAGCUUUAUGUCUAAAUAUUGAAGGUAAGAGCAUUUGAAAACCAAGUUGAAAACCAUUUCCGCAAAAACCGCGCCAAAAUUAACAAAAACGGGCGAAAUCCGCGCGAAACGCAAAAACCGCGAAAAACGCAAAAUCCGCGCCACCUGUAACAGCCCUGCAAUUUUAGUACAUGCCCAUUUAUAAUAGUACAUUUUUCAAAAGGCUGAGUUUCUAUGAAGCAAUCAAGUUGAAAUUUUGUCCACAAGCAAAAGGAACAUAGGCCUUUCAUUCCCCAUCAUUUAAUUUUCAAUUCGCUCACCACAACAGAAUUUCGAGCUUAUAAACCUUCAUGCACUCAAAAAUGGCAGUUUUAGGAGAGACAUUUUGUUCUAAAAAAGCCCAUUUAUAUUUGUUAUGGCUCAAAAAAAUCAUGAGUGUUCAAAAAGGCCUGAUGUGUCCAUCAGUUAGAACAGAAGUUGUAAAAUUUUUCUAAACGAACAGAAAAAAAUAUGUGUAUAAGGUGGCAAGCCUUAUAAAGGGUUAACGUGAUGAUAUUUCUUAAUGUAUUACAACAUAGCAAAUUGGGUUGUUUAGUGAAUAAAAUAUUGCUAUUUUCUAUAGCCUCAUCGAAAAAGCUCAUUUUUCUGAGUAUAACGUGAUUUUAUUGGACUCCAAUACCUUUGUUUUGAUGAUUAAAUUAACAAAACAGUUUUUAUUUUUGUGGAUAGAAUGACAGUUCAAUCGAUAAAGUUCGACAGUUCGACCCGAACAAAAAAAAAUCUCCAUACAAACUUUAAAUACAUUUUAAAAAUAGUUCCCGAAAUCAGAAAAUGGCGAAAUUUUGAAAUUCGACUAAUUGUUGAGCGGAGAAUCCGAUUAUGAAAUAAUUCGGAUACCCCUAAAGAACCCAAUUAUAAGUGUUAAUCAUUAAAAAUUUUGAAUUUCGGCUCACUUUUCACAAUCACCAAUAUAUCAGAAAAUCUGAAUCAAGUCGAUACCUAUCUUGAUAUUGAUCGGCCUAGAGUGAUAGUGACAGUGGUUGGCAAUAUCAGUAGGUAACUGACAAGACUGAUAUUUUACAGCUCUGGUGGAUAUAUUGAAGAAAUAUAUAUCGGGAUUUAUGAUAUUUCUUUUGAGUUCUGGGGUUUGAUUUGAUCUAUUCAAUAAAAUCCUCAGAACUGUUCAAGCAUUUUAUUAAGGAAUGCAAGAUCUUUGGCAAUCAGAAAUAGUCUAGCAUUUUUUCUGUAUUUAAUCACAAAUGAAGUUUAAGAAAUUUUAUUGGAAAGUGUAGUGAUUGAGAUGGAUAUGUAGUGUGUAAAUUAGUGUUGUAUAUGCUCUAGCAUUGACAGCGAUGAAACGAUGUCGCAAAUAAACAAAACAAACGAGAAGCAUACACACUUAAUUUGAAAUGUCGGGAUCUCAGCCUUUUUUUCAAACUUUCGCCGAGAUCCGCACAGCCGAGCGCUCGGCAAACAACAACAUAACCAAGAUCUCGGCAACUUUGACAGUUCAUUACUGAGUGUCGGCUGCUGUUUUGCUGAGAAUCAGCUAACAAAUGCAGUUUUAACUGAGAUAUCAGUUUUUGAGUUGGCUGAGUAGUCGGCUGUGCGCGGAAAGCCGAGCCCGCGAAUAUUUUUUAAGUGUGUAGCAUAGAUAACAAACUUAAGUCUCGUCAAGUAUGUCGCGCGUGCAACUUGGUGGCUACAUAUAACCAGGGAUGAGAAAUGUACUGGAAAAAACGGUUACCGGCUGCACAUUUGACAUUUUUCCACACGAACAUCACAGGCCCAGCUAAACUCAAACUGUUCGAAAAAUAAAUGUCAUAACAUUUUUUUUUCCAGCAGCCUUCUUCCUCGAAACGGUUUCCAAGCGCGAGAGCGCCGGUACUCGAGCACAACGACGACAGAAAUUUCUGUCUCUCCCAUUUUCGCAUUUUUCUCCGAUUCAAACCGCUUCUAGACAAACUUCUUUAUAUGCAUCACAAAGCUAGGAGUGUGUUCUAGCUAUUUGUGCAAACAGAUUCAAAUUAUUCACUAAAACAAGUGAGUUAUUAGCAGUUGAAAAUAUUUGACAUUUUUCGCAAUCACCCGCCUCGGCAUGACUGCUCAUAAAUAUUUUUGUGGGGAAGCGAAAACUAUCAAGCGCCAGCUUGACUGCCGACGGCGCGGCUGCUGAUGGUAGGUAUUGGUGCUGCCGUUGUUUUGUUUUUAUUUUACUGUCGGUAUCGAUGAACGGAAAAGAGAAAAACGUAUUUUUGCCAUCCCUGCAUAUAACAGUUAUUGCAACAGUUCAUUGUAAAAAUGGCUGCAGCAACAUAGUUUACAGCAUUUUUUUUAUAUAUAAAUUAGUUCACACAGAAUUUGAAAAAAAUGAACUUGGAUAAACAUCUGUUAUCUGUGGUAUGAGCUCACAUUUAUUUUGAACAAUGUAAUCGAUGAAAUUUAACAUGUUAAGCACAUACAUUACAAAAUCUCACUUUUUAGCUAAAAGUACCAAGUGUAUAACUUUUUACACAAGCGUGGGAUCACUUUUCGGUCUUCGACAGAGUUUUUCGGCAAAUUCUAGGAUCAGAUCCCUCAAAUUCCACAUCCUUCGUUGCAUGAUUUAAGACAAAUUUGAACCCCUCAUAAGAAUCUGUUUUUAUCUGUAUUAUUGAGGUUUGUUUUUUCCCUUGGCCCUACUUUGGGCCUGCUUCCUCUCAAAGAAAAUUUCACAUUUUGAGAGUACAUACAAUUUUGUUUUUUUUUGCACUGGCUUUUUUUUGCACUUACACAGUCAAUUUUGAAUCAAUAUACAUGAAAAUUUUUACACAGGGAGAGGCGGUUACUUCGUGUUUUGAAAAUCAAGUCUAUAGGCUCAAAAUUGACUAAGUUAUAGCAAAAAGGCGUCCUGUGCUAAAAAAAAGUGUCGAAUGUAUGUCGGCAGUGGAAUUCGAUCCUGGGUCCUCGGUAAGACAGGCCAACACCUCUUCAAGGAUUUCGUCAAAAAACAAAAAACUCCUGUAUAUUUCAUUUCUAGAUAGAACUUCUAUAGAAAUCCCUUGAGGAACUCCCGGAAGAUUUCCAUAAGAAACACCAAGAGGUUCCCCAGCAGAAAAUUCUGGAUGAUUUUCAGAGGGAGCUCCAGGAGAAAUCUAAAGAGCCAAAUUCUACGCUCGAUACAAAUUUCGAAAAUUUUGUAUGAACAAAAAUCUACGAGGGGGAGGGGAGUAUGAGAUGGUCAAAAAUGAGUCUAUGUAGUUUAUGGACAGUGCCAGAAAUGUUUUUGGGUGAAUCCUUGAAGGAUAACGAGAGAAGGAAAUUCUGGGGGAUUAUUUGAAAUAAUGUUGUUACAACCACUACCAUCGAUCGUCGAUGCACGCGUACCUGCGGUGUAGGCUACGUUGAGUCUUUUUUGACAUCUAUUAUAAGGCUACUAUUGUGAGCAGAAUCAAAGAAUCCAUGAUAGCAGCUGGUUGAUAUCGCAAACGUGGUUUCGGGAAAAUUGUUAGGCGAUUAUUUAUUGAAUUUGUGCGCCUUUAAAUGCCUGUAAACUACAGUGAUCGCUUCGUGAUAUUUAUUGAGCUGUAUGGUUAUAUUAUCAUUUGUCCGCUUCAGAACGUCCUAUGUAUGACGAAUUCUUACUCCUAUCGCAAAUAGUUACUCCUACGUAAGUUAGAAUGACGAUUAUAAGUGCCUUAUUAGCAAUCUUAACCGGCAAAACUAAUAGAUUUCUAGGCUAGGUUGCGAGAUCCCCAGUUGUACUUCACAAGUAGCAAAUACGGGAAGAUACUAAAUCUGUAAGAUUGAAAUACUAUGUACCAUGAAACCCCACUGAAAUACAUUUUUCUUCUAGUUUGAGCUGAUUACUGAACACGCGCUGCUCCAAAAAUUAGUACGUCUAUUCCGUGUCCGAACAAAUGUCUUGAUGGAUAUCAGAAAAUAAUCGUGGAUGAAUUCCCGUUGAAAAUGUAGAAAUAGCAGAAGGGAAAUCUUGGUGAAUCAAAAAGCAACUCUUGAAUGAACUACAAAAGGUUGUCUUGGUCCGAUUUCUGGUAGAAUUCCUUAAAAAAUCCCCGAUGAAAAAUAAAUUUGAAAAGGGACAUCUGGGUUAAUAUGAAAAAGAAAGACCUGAAGAAAUCUCAGGGGCUAGAAAUUAUAUCCUCGAAAAAAUGUCAUCGAAUUCCAAGAGAUAACUUUGCAGUACGAGAUAACAUAGACAAAUUCCAGAAAUAACUUCUUGGUCGGCGUCAGCAAAAAAUAAACUAAAAAAUGUAGACUGCGCAAAAAUGAUUUGUUAAAAACGUCAAACAACGAUUGAAUGUUAUGCUAAGGAGUCUGGAAAACGUUUUCCGAGGACAUCACAAUACUGUCAACUGUCUUGUAAUGUAAUGACGACUAAUGUCUCACGCUUUAAGCGCCUUAUGAAUUAUGUAAUUCAUCAGGAGUUAUUUCAGGUGCUAAGCUGCGGAACCUCAAAUAACCACCGAAAUGAUUGAAAUUUUAACAAGACUCAGUGUGCUAUUGCAGCAAAUAUUGUAAUGAAGCUACGGGAGUUUGAACUUUAAAACAAUUUAUGAUUUAAACUACCCUAGCUUUGAAUGAACCUCUCCAGAAAUUGCCAGAAGUUCAUUACAGGUCUAACAACGACCUGGUUCUAAAUACAUUUGAAAUCCUUGAAGGAUUUUGCAAGAGAAUCGCUAACAAAUCUUGUCAAAUAUUUUCCACAGAUCUGAGCCGAAAUUCUCUGUGACUUUGUGAGAAACUCUUCAAUGAUUCUGGGCAAUCAAGAAUUUCAUCAGGAAUCCUUCCUGGCCACCCUGUCCGUGGAGGAAGGUGCCGAAUUGAGUCAACCGCUGCUCACAUGAGCGAGCCCCCUUCUUUCAUCACAUCAAAAAUAGACACAACCAUAUCGUGUGUGUGGGCGCGAUGAUAUCACCGACGAACCGACGUGACAGCUAGAACAAAUAAAUUCAAAUUUGUUGUCCGCGACACCAUGAUGAAAAAUAGCCGAACACUAUCGCCACCUCUAUAACGGCUCGCGAUGAUUUGAUAGCUCGACACCAAACCCCCGUGUGUUCAUAUAGGAAACGGUUCGCGUCUGCGCUGAUUUGACAGAAGCGAUCGUUCGCUUCGCUGGUCGACCGUUAAAUUAGGGGGGGACAGUUUUGGAUCGCCACUGUCACGUCGGUUCGUCGGUGAUGAUAUCACACACGAUUCCGGAUCCAAUCUCGUUGUUCCCUUCUGACUUUCCCAAUAUACCUAGUUAGGUUGUUCGGUUUUUGUCUCUCCUCCAUGGUUUCAUAUUUUCCAACCGUAACUCUGACUUUAACCGUCCUUUGCCCGAGGAGUGAGCUGAGCGAUUGUAACUGCGCUGCUCGGUACCACACCACCGCCGCAACAUCAUCGAGCCCGUGUGCAUUCUGGGAUGGAUGUAGUGUAGUUACUACAGUAGAUACUCCAGAAAACAGGAGGGGUGUUUGGCCAUGCGGUCAUUGACAUUUUGGCAGUGGAUGUGAAUUGGAUAUGAUGCGAAGUGCACGGUACGAUUGGUGGCUGUCAGGAUCUUAUCGUAUCUAUGUGUGUCGGGGAGUUUGAUCUCGUUACAAUUGUGAACCAAAGAAAAAUGUAGCAUUAUGACUCUUUUAAAGAUUGACUGAUUUCACAAGGUAGCAUGUAGGUAGCAUUGGAGCGUCUGUCCCAGAGAAGAAGUGAAGUAUUCACGAUCAAAACGUGAUAUUGUUAUAAUUGAUAUACAAGUUAAAAUGUUGUCAAAUUACGUCUGAAGUUGCUAGGAUGAGAUCUCAACUUAUGUAAUCGAACGUAAAUUAGCAUAUGUAACGCUUCAAUUGCGCCUUUGACUCGCAACAAUCUGAAAAUUUCGCCAAGAUUUUAUUCUCGGGAUUGAUUGAUCUUUAGCUUGUUGCUAGUUGUUUCCAUAAAAUCACAUUUUCUAACUAUGGUUUACUGACUCAUCUUGGUAAGUAAUUAUUUCAAUCAAACGAAAUUGUACAUAAAUCACCAAGAAAGCGAAUCUUGUCCACUUGUCAUAAAUUGAUAACCUCUCCUCAACAUUUAUAAUGAUCACACAGGGACUAACCAGGCGCGCAGGUUGGCUUCACAGUUCAGCAGCACCUUGCACCGUCACCAUCUCACAUCAUCACCAGCGAUAAUGUUCUUGUUUUUAUUUUUCAACUCAUUGAGCCUUGAGCUGCGGGGCGAUCAGCUGUGCUGACGAGAGUUAUCAAUCUCUCCUCGAAACAAAGCACGUGGCGACAGUAUGCGAACUUCGAAGGACACCUGCUGCAGGCGUCAAGAAGCCCUUGAAUCCGAAGUGACAAUCACCCGAUUGCAUCAUUGGGUUGUUUAAACGAAUUUUUUUGUUAUCUUUGUCAUUGAGAGGGAAUACAAAAGCGUUCGAAAUCGUUGAGAACCUGGUUGGUACCUGGUUUUUAAGAGUCUUUUUGAUCUGAUUUAAUCAAAAAAAGUAUCUUAACCAAUAUAGGAUAAUUGGGGUCUCCUGUUAGACCUGAAGUGCACAAGGUCAAAUAUUUGACAAGGAAAGAACUCAAGAAAAAACAUCUGAGUAUAGGUUUCUUUUUGGACAAAUAUUUGACCUUGUGUACUAACAGCUUAGCCUUGUGGAUAAGGUUUUGGAUCGUCAAUCCGGAGACUUUUCUCAACUUCCCUGAGCAUAGUGUAUCAUCACUAUACUUGCCUCACAAUAUACAAGUUCGUGCAAUGGCAAGCAAAGGAAACCCUUCAAUUAAUAGCUGUGGAAGUACCUAAACAACACGAAGUUGCAGAGAGACAGGUUAAGUUCUAGUGGGAACGUAGAGCCUCAAAGAAGAACCAUAAUUCGUCAAUUCUUAAACGGUUAGAACUGAUUUUUUUUGUUUGAAUUUGUUUUUCCGCGCAUUGUGGAGCCUCGUAGCCGUGCAGUUAGGGUCACCAAGCUUAUAAUCGCACCAUGCUAUGGGGUGAGGGUUCAAUUCCCGUUUCGGGCGUUGAAACUUUUCGUGAGAAUAGUUCCUUCCCCGUUUCCACUGGUGCAUGCUCCGUUGUCCGUUGUCUAAUGUUAAGUUUAAAACAGUCUGUACAGUCGAAAGCUGAAGACGUUGUCCGUGUCUUUAUAAUUCCAAGAUGACUGAAAAAAAAACACACAAUGAACGCAUCGUUAAGCUGGCUAAAUUCUAAUGAGCAUUCUUGUUAAUUGUUGAACAGUUCACUCCGUAAGUCGAAGUUUAAAUUAUAGGUUACAAAUUUAUCAUAUUUUCAUUUUCAUGUUAAAUGGGAGAUUCAGAAGGGUUUCGGAGGGGUUCCCGGUGGUCCUGGGGGUUCCUUCGGGCUUCUAAGCUGGUUUCAGGGAUGUUUUAUAGGAGUUUCAAGAAUGUUCAGGGGAUUACAUGAAGGUGUUCAGGGGUGUUUCAGGAAGUUUCAGGACGUUCCAGCGUGUUGCAGAAGGUUUCAGGUGAUAUCAGAGAUUUAUACAAUGGAGCACCCUUGAAACCCCUGGAACGUUCCUGAAACCCUCUGCAAUACGUUAGAACACCCUGAUACUCUCUGAAACACCCCUGUAACUCCUUCAAAUUUAUUGGAACGCUUCAGAAACCCCUAAGAAAUCUCUGAAACAGCCUUUGAUCCCGGAAAAUUUCUUCGGAACACUAUUGAAACUCCUUACAACGCUUCUGAAACCUCUUGAAAACCUUUGAAACGCUCUUGAAACAUCGUGACACUUCCGUGAAGCCCCAUAUACGCCCCUGAAACUUUCUGAAUCACACUUAAAACCUCUAGAACGUCCCUGAAACUUUUUGAAAACCCAUGGAACGCGCCUGUUGCGCGCGCCACGACAACUUAUGCAACAAUAUCCUAUUUCGGCCACGGCUACGCCUCUGAAAGCUAAACCGCUGGCUAGCGAUAUGAUCAUGUAAAGCAAAAUAGCGAACAAAGGCUUCUACGAAGAGAAGAAUGCAUCUGUCAACGAAAGGCAAAGUGAUUUUUUCCUAUUGUUUAGUGGUUCGUAAAGUUUAGUGGAACAAACACUGAAACCUAGGGAAUAUUUAGGCAGUUAACGACGGAAUUGAUAAAUUUGAUGUUUUUUUUAUAGUAAUUCAAUAUUGUAGUUGGAAACAAUUGUUGAAUUGGACAAACUUUCUUUUUUUUUCGUCGCGUAACAGCCCCUGAAACCCAUUGAAAAUCUUUAGAACGCACCUGAAACCCGUUGAAACACUCAGGAGCGUCCGUAAAACCCUCUAAAAUUCCUAGGAACGCCUCUCUGGGAUCCACGAAACAACCUGGAAUACCACUGAAGCUCCCUAGAACGCCACUGAAAUCUUUUCAAUACCCCUAGAACACCCUCUGGAACCCAAUGGAACACUGCGGAACGUCUCUGAAAACCCCUGGGAUGCCUCCGAGUUCAUUUGAAACACAAAUUCUCAUGUAUAUACUUUCAAUUGAUAAAAUGUUUAAACCAAAGCUUUAAUUUUUAAAUCUAGCUCAACAUUUCUACAAUACCCAUUUAGGAGCCCCUCGCUCCGCCACCAAGGACAUAAACAAACCUCACAAGUUUACACUGCAAGAUUGAAGAAGUUUCCCUCCUGCGAAAAUGUUAAAUUUCUGGAAAAAUUUCCAGGAAUUACGUUGAUUUCGGGAGCGAAUGUGACCUGGAAGUUCCACCCAUGGGUGCUGCUAUGAAUAAACUUGACUUUUUGCUGAUAUCUCAGUUAAAUUUCGAUUGCCGAGCGCUCGGCUGUGCAAAUCUCGGCAAAAUAAUGUAAAUUAGCCGAGCUCAACUGAGUGUGUAUCAUUCAGCUUGAUUGGGAAAGAUUUGAGGCCAACUUUGAGUUCAGUAGGUUUCAAAAAAACCCCUAUGACGAAGAGAACAAAACGGCCAAAAAUACGUAAGUUCACCUAUUGUAGUUGUCAAAGGAUGAAUUUUUUUAGUAGAAUUGAAAGGGACAGUACUUAGCCCGAUUUUCUAUUACUUACAGAUAUUCCACUAACACGCCCAGGUUCAUCUACGUCCUUGAAGACUCCUGGAACGCUCCUGAAACUCUCUGGAACGACCAUGGGGUCUUUUGAAACCUCCUGAAACACCCAUGAAACGCUGAAUAGCAAUUAAAAAAUAAUUUUAAACAAUUCAAAAGUGUUAAUCACAUCCUCAGUUCUUGUAACUAUGGUGGCCGAUUACUCGGCCUGUAAUGUUUUAGCUGAAGAUAUUUUUUUGGAAAUUUCCGCACAAGAUCUUUCGGGAUGCUGAGUGAGUUCUGAGCAGAUUCAUUGCAAUUGGGUUUUUAAAUUUAGAAUAAUGUAUUGAUUUUUUGAUUUUAUACGAAAGAGCAGCUUUUUCUGAGCCACUAUGAUUUUUUUUUUCAAAUUUUUAGAACUUUAUUUUGAUACCUAAAAUUAAUUACAAAGAGAUUGUUUGAUAUCACCUUUUGACAGCUGGGCAACUGCUUGACAGCUCCGCCCAGUACAAAAUGCGACGAGGGGUGAUUCGACAAAUCGCUCCCAUACAAUCUUCAAACUGAUUUUUAAAUAGGUUCCCGCACGGAAAAAAAUCCAUUCCCCUCAUCAUGAAUAAAAAAUCAUGUUCUUAUGAUGUCUGCCAACUCAUAAUAUCAUAAUUAAAAUUCAUAAUAUCAUGAAUGAGUUGACCAGAAAUAUGAUUAGAAACAAGCAUUUUCAUAAAUUAUAUUCAUGGUCGCUUCGUAGCGUUACACUUAUCUGCCAUAUGCAAUUAUAUAAAUCGCGCGGUCAUAUAAAUCGCAGACAUGUGGAAAAAGUUGAACCUUCUAUUUUUGCAAAGUUUUUAUUUGGUUAGAGUAAUAAAUGUGCAUAUAUGAGGAAAUAGAACAUCGAAACAGUGUGCCCGUAAGAUUCGGCAGUUUGUUGGGAGUUGAUUGACUAAAAAGUAAACGCGCAAAAAGUAAACAGUGCCCAGUUCGCGUUUUCGCUGUGCCAUCCGUCGUAGUUACGAGUUUAUGUACGGAGGGUGAAGCAAAGUGAGAAUCGCGCGUUAAUUUUCGGUAAUUCUCUCUAUUUUUCCGGUUUAUCCAUCGUUCGACGACUUCGGAGACUCAUCAAGUGAUGUGAACUAGUGAACAAUUGAUGUGGUUUGGAGGGCAUACUUAACCUGUUGGAUGUAGUAGCCAAAGACAAAAAUAGUAAACCAGCUAAAUAUGAUUAUCCGGUGAGUUCGAUCAUUGUUGUUCUCUUUUAUAUUUGAACAUUACAUAUCUUCACUAACAAGAGGCCAACUAAAAAGUGCUGCUUGCUCAUAGAAAAAAGGAUGAUGGAUAGGUCCCAAAAUCAUAGAAAUGGGCUCUGAUAUCACGUAUUUUAUUUUCUUAUGAUUUUAGCUUGCAUCGUUUUAUUAAUCUAAUUAAAAGCAUUUGGGACCGACGACGACGAAAUCAUAAAAGUAAUUCUUAAUUCCAUGAAUUCUAUGCAUUCAACCAUGAUUUUAUGAAUUUGACUGAGAAGCACAUAGGUCCGACGACGACGGAAUCAUAAAAGUAUUUUUUGAUUCCAUGAAUUCUAUGCAUGGUUCUACCUCACGAAACCAUAAUUUUAUGAAUCUGGUGGUAAAGCAUCAGGAUCUGAAUCCAGGUUUAUGAAAAUUAUUCUUGGCUUCAUGAAUGCUACUCAUGAUCCCAGCUUAUAUAAUCAUAGCUUCAUGUUUAUAUUUUCCAUUUUUGGUCGUCGAAAGCCAAAACAAUAACGGGUGCAUAGCGUUAUGGUGAUAAGAUCAUAAAAUUUAAUCAUGGUGUAUAUUUAUAACAUAAAAUCAUAAAAAUAUCGGGAAACUAUGAGUCAUAUUCAUGGUCCUGGGAAUGGAUUUUUUUCCGUGCGGGCACCAAAAUUCAUGAAAAUUUGGAUUUCGGCUCAGUUUGGCAUGCAGAUUCAGAGAAUAGAAUUAUCUCAACACCACUAAAGAAGCCAAUUAUUGGUAUUUUUUUAUGAAUUCCUAACGAGAACAUAGGCAAAGGCCUGCAUUUAACUCUGCAUGAUUUGUAGUUUGUGUCUUUUAAGGUAUGUUGCCAUAAACUUCAAAUUAUGUCUUCAUGCCAGGUUUGGGAAGGCUGAACUUCGCUACAUUACUGACAAGACUUAUGGUAGAUUCCUUGUUUGAAUAUCUGAAAAAGAUCUUUUUAAAAUCAUAAGAAAAACAUCAAUAAAGAAAUCCUGUGAAGCAAAAAAAAACUUGGCGGUGCUUGUUUGAACUUACUUUUCUUACAAUACAACUUCCCUACCAUCACACCGCACCGCAAAUCCAAUAAAUCAUUGGGAAGAUCCCAGCCAGCCGACUUUCCUGUGUCUGAGAGAGACUGAAUAAUGACUAAUAUGAUUGCAUUUUCUUAACUUAACCCUCGUGUCGUCUCAACAACGCUGCUGGCUGUCGCGGCCGACCGCUUUCCAUAUUUUCCUCCCAUUCAAGCAUAAUGAUGACGAUGACGGCGACAGUCUUCGUUCCACACCGAGUCAGCUGUCGCCCCCGCUCAGCUCGAAGUUGAAUCACCGCCACCGGACCGCUUUUUGUAUUUUGGCACAGAAAUGAAAAUGGAUGCAUGACGGUCCGGCACACGAAGGAACCCCGGCUGACUGGUUGGCUAGACGUUGAUGAUUCAAGGGGGAAAAUGCAAUUUUCAGAAAUUCGUUCAGAGCCACUUGUCAUUUGCUUACUUCGGGUGAAGUCUCCGUGCGUAGUCGGGAGCUGGUACGUGAUCCAAAAGGAGGAAAUUUUCAUCAUUUUUUUCGAGAGCAUUAUUACAAUGCCGGCGAAUGGACGUUGUCAGUCAGAGAAAAUGGGGAACCGACAAUAUGGUCAAGGAAAAAUGGAUGGGCAGAAUUGCCCACUCAAACUCAAAUCAUGUUCCCAUCAAAUUCGACUGACCGUGCCAUGUUGAACCUACGAAGUAGUAGUAGCGUUCAAUAAGGAAAAUCGUUCUAUAUGCUAAAUCACUGAUGAAAGACCCUUGUCUCGGAAACAACUUUUGGAAAGCAGGAUCAAGAAUCAUCAUCUUUGGACCGUAUAAUGUUCCAGAGUUAAUCGUUGCAUGCCGUUCGAAGAUAAUUCCACAAUUUAUCAAAAGUUACUUCAGAAAUUUAUCUUAAGGACAGACUCGUUAGAAUCCCAAGACGGCCGUCACAAUGGCCGACUUUUUCACCUACUCACAAUUUUUGAGCGCACAAAUCCCAUUGAAAAUCACACCAGCGUACCGGGUCUUUGUUUAAGCUUAUUACAAGUGAACAAGAUCAAAAUAAAAAAUACACUAUCGUUAGAAGUUCACUGCUUGAGAUUUGUGCAUCGAAAGUUCUGGUGCAAUAUUGAGCAGGGUUUUCAAGACGUUUGUCCUUAAUGGUUUUCCGGGAUAGCUUUCUAACAGUUUCGGGAUUUGUAGAAGUUCUUCCAAGGUUUCUUCCAAAAAGUUUUCCGAUAUUCCUCUUGGAUUUCCUCGCGGGGAUCUCAGGAUUUUUUUUUCUGAAGUUCCUCUCAAUUUUGUUUGUGGAAUUUCUCGCCAGAUUUCACCUUAAUUCCUUCCGUUAUUUGAAUAUCAUACAAGGAGUUCGGUAAGUAAUUUCAGGAGACAUUCCGAAGAGAAACUCCUGGUAAAAUUCCUGCAGGACCUCGAAAGCAACUAAUUAAGAAAUCCCAAAGGAGCAUCCAGCAUCUCGGGACAAUUUCUAGCAGGAAUUCCGAAAAGAGCUCUGUAAAUAUUCCUGAGAAAAUCUGGGAUAAUCUCAACUAUGAGGAAAAACCUAGAAAAUCUCUGAAAGAAAUCAAUGAGAAACAUCAGCAAUAGCUCCUGCAGAAAUUCCAGAAGGCACUCCGAAAAAAUCUUAGAAGGAAGUACAAGCUAAAAUUAGAAAUACUGAGAGACAUCUGAAAGUCCGUGAGAAAUCUCUGAUGAAACUUCAAAAGAAAUCCCGCAAGAACUUUUCGGAAACAUCCUAACUAAAGCUAGAGACGAACCAGCCAAGGGCUGAAAGUCUGUAUAAUAUAAUAGCUAAAUCAAUCCAUCAAUCCUAGCUAAAACUCCUGUAGAAAAAUUCGGUGACGUUUACCGAACAUCGUCAAAAUUUGACAGAUAAACGAUAACAUUUUACCGAAAUUUUGUAUUUUUUACAGAAUUUCGGUAAAAAAUCAUUACCGAACGUUCAGCAGUUGAGAUUUCGGUAAAAAUUACCGAACGCGACUAGCUGUGUAGAGAAUUUCUUGUGAAGCUCUCUGGAUGAAUCCUGGUAGAAAUCCCAUGAAAAUGUCUUUGGCCAAAACGCAGGACCUUCGGGAAUUCCCCCCAGAGGUUCCUACCAGGAUGCCGUCAGGAAUUCCUACCGAGAUCCCUUAAAGUAUUUCUCCGGGAUUCACUCAAUUCAUUCCGAGAUUCCCGCAGGAAUUCUUCUGGGAUAAAUUUGAAGUUCAUAAUGGACUUUCUCCAGAAACAUAUUCAGGAAUGUACUAAGAGAUUCUCCUAAACAAAAUUUCCAUCAGGAAUUUCUUCCAGGAUUUCUUCAGGAACUCCUUUUAGGAUUCCUCCAGGAGUUACUUCACGGGUUCCUCUCAUAGUUCCUUCUACAAUUCCAUCAGGAUUUUCUUCUGAGAUUACACCAGCAGUGACAUCUGGGUAAAUUUUACCCGAGAUGACUUCCGAUUUUUUUUUUCAGAAGUUCUCUUAAUGAAUGCUUCAGUAAUUAAUUUCGGGGUAUCUUCAGGAUUAUUUUUUAUUUUUAUUAAAGAAAAGAGUAUCUUCAGGGCUUGCUCCCGGUAUUCUUUAAGCAAUCCUCCUAAAUUCAAGAUUCCUCAGGAAGUUCCUUCUUAGAACUCUCCAAAAAUAAUUACUGGGAUUCAUCCAUGAAAUCCUUCUGGGGUUCCUCCAAGAGUUUCUUGCCGGAUUCCGUCUUGGGCUCCUCUAGGAACUUCUUCCGGUAAUCCUCCAGCAACUCCUUCCUGGAUUUAUUCAUUAACUAAUUGCGUAACUCCUCCGGGAACUUCUUCCGGGAUUCCUGCCGAUUAUGGUGGAAUUUUUCUGAAAUUCUCUUAGAUGUUUCUCAUGGGGAUCCAAAAGCAGUUUUUUUAAACCCCUUUAGAAGUAUUCUAAGACUUCCAUCUGUAAUUCUCUCGUAAGUUCGUAAUGAAAUUCCUAAAGCACUUUCUUGAGGAAUUCCUCCGCCAAGUUCUCAAAAAAUAUCAACAGUUUUGAUUCUCUUACAUGUUUCUCAUGGGGAUCCAAAAGCAGUUUUUUUAAACCCCUUUAGAAGUAUUCUAAGAUUUCCAUCUGUAAUUCUCUCGUAAGUUCGUAAUAAUGAAAUUCCUAAAGCACUUUCUUGAGGAAUUCCUCCGCCAAGUUCUCAAAAAAUAUCAACAGUUUUGUAGAACAGAAGUAUCUUCCCAAAAAAAAUCUGAUUCUGAUGACAUUCAAAAAGUAUGGAGAAAUCUCAGAAGGAACUUGUAGAGCAGUCCUUGAAGGAACUUCUAGAGGAAUUGUAUAAGGAACUCCUCAAGAAAGAAUUCCUAGAGAAAUUCUAUAAGGAAUCUCGUGAAGAGUUUCUGGAGAUAAUUUCUGGAAAAAUCCCAGAUGGAACUUCUUAACAAAUCUCCUUGAGGAAUCCCGAGAAAAACUCCUGGAACAAUCCCGAAUAAACUCUGGAGAGAACACGGAAGUAAUUUUUGGAGGAGUCUUAAACCUGGAGGAAUCUCAGAAGGAAUUCCUGGAGGAAUCAUAGAAGGAAUUUCUGUAGUGAACCCAGAAGGAGUUCCUGAUCAAACUCGGAUGAAACUCCUGGAUGAAUCCUGGAUAGAUUUGUAGCAGGACUCACAGAAGGAGGAAUUCUCAAAAGGAGGAAUUCCAGAAUAGGAACACAUUUCAAAAGGAACUUCCUAAGAAAUCACUAGAAAAACUUUUGGACGAAUCUUUGAAUGAAUUUCUGUACAAAUCCCAGAAGGUACUUGUGGAGAAGUUAUGGAUGAAAGUCCUGGAAAAAUCCCAGAAGAAAUUCCUGAGAGAAUCUAGGAAUGAAUAUCUGAGUUAAGCCCGAAAUAAAUACCUAAAGGAAUCCCGGAAGGAGGUUCUGGAGGAGUCUUGGAAUGAACUUCUGGAGGAAAAAAAUCCGGUUGAAAUUCUUGGAGGGAUGUCCGAAGAAACUCCUAGUGAAAUUUCAGGGUGGGGGAGCAAUAGAAGAAAUUCAAGAGGAAUUUCUGGAUGAAGGAGGGUUUCUCAGUAGGAGGAGUUUAGACGACGGACGAAUCGAAAUUCGAGCUUUUCAAUCGGAAGCGGCCGGUUUGUGUGUGGUGCAGAUCGGGUGAAGAGCUUCAGGAUCGCCACAUCCAAGGCACGGUGAAGCAUGGAAGAGGAAAUGUGAUGGUCUGGGGGUGUUUUUCUUGGAGUGGAGUGGGUAGUUUCGUGAAAAUCGAUGGGAUAAUGAUUGCAGAUUCCUACAUCAACAUCCUGCGGGAAAAUCUGGAGGUUUCGCUGAUCCAGACGGACCUUGAAGAGAAGUUUUCAUAUCAGCAGGACAACUACCUGAAGCAUACUGCCAAGAAAACCAAGUCUUUCUUCCGGUCUUGCCGGAUCAAACCGCUGGAAUGGCCUCCACAAAGCCCGGACCUCAACCCCAACGAGAAUUUGUGGACGACUCUAGAUACCAGGGUUGACAAAACUGGCGUUACUAACAAGUCCAACUAUUUUGAAGCUCUUAAGAAGAGCUUGAUCCACAGCACCGAACGAACCUAGUGAAGAGCAUCCCAAAGCGCCUGCGGCUGGUCCUGAAGGCCAAACUGCCGUAAUUCUGCAUAGUGACAUAGACGCCAUUCAAAAUUUCGAUAUUUUCGGGUAUAUUAUAUAUAAUAUCUGGGGAAAGAAUAACACUGUGGUAUUCCUGCUGUAUUAGAAUGCAAGAUCUAGUCGUAAUCUAUCAUCUAUGAAAAGAAACUUAGAGGACAAGUAAGAGUUUUAUGCAUCAUAACUAAAAAAUGGACCAAAACUUUCAAUGUCGCUUACGUCACUUUGCAGAAUUGCUGCAGCAAAGGAGGACACAUAAACUAUUAAAACGCCUUUCUUUUACUUAAAUUUAUUUUCGCGGGAGCCAAAAUAAAGUGGGCACUUUUUUGUCACUGUUUUUUUUUUCUAUAAUACAAAUUGAUUUUUUUUUCUUUGAGUCUAAUUUUUUUUAAUCAUUGUUCUGUAAGUAAAACUUGAAAAGAAUAUUAAAAAGAAGUUCUAGAAAAAAAACUGCAGUGUGCUUACUUUAAUUUCAACCAAAUAAAUGGUAGAAAUUCUAAAAAUGAUGGGGUGGGCACUUUAUUUUGCCUAUCAGUGUAUGGUAUUUAUAUGAGCUGUAUUAGGAACAACUUUCUAUUCUUCGCUAGUAACCAGAACGAUCAAUGGUUUGCUUUAUUUAUUAUUUGUUUAUUUUCGGGAACCUGUUUCACCUCAUUUUUUGACCGACUUCAAUCACGCUAUAAUGUUAGAAAUCAGCAAAAUUUCCCGAGGUUCAAACUGUAAACAACAAACGGCAAAGAAAAGUUUAUCAUAGAAAGCGCCGAAUUCUCUCCGUCUCUUUCACUCUUCAACAAAUUCUGUAAGUAACAAAGGCAAGAAACGUCAAAAUUCUAUACAAAAUCAAAACAAUGCAGUGCCCUAUUCUUCUGCAUUAGACGUUAUGCUAAAACUGAGACAUUAGGCCAUAUGAAUAAAGCUGAGUAAAUACUCAUUACUCAGAUCUCUGUGAAGAUUCACAGAGAUUUGCUCUACGGCUUCACAUAGAUUUAGUAAAGAGCAUUUACUCAACUUUAUUCAUACGGCCUAUUGCCUACUUCUUAGUAUAGUGAUCUAUGAAUAUUUCCAAAGUUAUGAAUUGGCAGCUUUCUUUGCCAUUUGCCAUAAUGAUACUUUAGCCUAAGGAAGUCAAGAAUAUUUCCUUUGUUAAAAAAAACAGUUGAAAGAGCUCAAUGAGAGAAAUCAUUGCAGCGUUGUUAUAGUUCAACUUGGCACUACUAGUUUAUCGCAAAAGUUAUGUUAUUUCUUUCUGUAAUAAGGCUAGAACAAAUGUCAUUUUCUUAUUUUGUCACAGUUUUCGUUUACUUGUAUGAAUCUGGUGAAGAAAUACCUGAACAAUUAGGCAAAAUCAUACAUAAACCUCAUCGAAUUUUCUAGGAGUAGCAGAGUUUACCUUUUUUAUCUAAUUUUGUUAAUUAAUUCUUUCUGAAGGCGAACAUUCAAAACGCUGAAAUCCAACCAAAAAUUUCCGUGGUGGCGAAAAAUUCGGACAUGUUUAGUACGUAGUUUUGUAAUAAUAGGAUUCUACGGAAAUCGUAUCUGAUGUUAUAUUGUGCUGUACUGUACACAGUAUUCGAGGUAGCUUGCAGCCUCUACUGCCUGGAGUCGAUCGAGACGAUAGGCCCCUACCGGGCCCCUUUUGUUGUUCUUUGAUCACUAGUUUGCGUCGCAAACAAACUUUGGGUGGCGGUUUUCCAAUUCAAAGUCUACCUUUGGUAAAUAUUCAUAAUAUGAAACAAAAUGGCAACUUCAAUUCACCGUGGUACCUGUAAAUUAUUCAAAAACGCAGAAGCACCCGUUCAAGUUUUUUUUUUAUUUGAUAAUAUAGCUGCCAUUACAUACACACUCUAAAAUAGCUUAAAUUACUUGUUAUUUCAGAACUUUUGAAUUGGCUUCCUAUUUCAUAUAAUAUUUGAGAUAUAAACAUACUACCUCCUGAGGAAAAAGAAAGAAACAAAAUUGUUCCGAUCUGGGUGGAUGUACUGUUUACCCAGAUUUUCUACUGUGAAUUUUCUAAUAGGAAUUUGCAAAACUUGUUGACUUGUUGUGACAACCUCUUUCAGAACAGCGAGCCCUUUUUUGGCAAUCUAUCGAACAAUACUGUACCAUACUGAAGGUAGCUAUAGAGUCUAACUGCCUGGAAUCGAUCCCAAGCCGAUCCGCUGAAGACGACAGGCCUCUUACGGGCCCCUGCCAGCCCUCAUCUUUCGGAAUAUCGAACACUUCUCUUUCGAUUUCUUUUACGAUGCUGUACUAUACAAACAUCAUACUGAGCAUAGCAUGACCCCUGAUUACCUGAAGUAGAUCGCCAUUGGUCCGUGGGACACAAGCCCCUGUCGAAUUCUUCCGCAGAAUCAUUCAUCAUCGAUCUAGGUUUACAUCCUUAUGAUGUUUGGCGUUGGGUUUUCGACUUCUCAGAGUUUUUUUUUUU